rnacentral:lncRNA from 1 species
AGAAAUUCAAUCAGUGAUUGAUUCAUAAAAAUGCAAAAGACAAACCCACAAAACCCAUAACCAAAACAAAAAAAAUCAUAUAGCCAUAUCAAUAGGAACAGGACACUGAUUGCUAUGUUGUCUCAAAUUCACCAGAAAAUCAUGUUGAAUCAAGCAAACUAUGCAACAUAGAUUUCAUGAAAUUUAUGCUGAAUAAAGUAAUGUCUAGUACAUUGAAUGAAAC